CCUUUCCCUUUCCCUUUCCCUUUCCCUUUCCCUUUCCCUUUCCCUUUCCCUUUCCCAGUUCUUCAGUUGGAAGAAUGAACAUCAGAGCUGUGAUACUUCAGUGCAACAUAUACUUUUACAGAGACCUUUGAAAAUGAAACAUUACUUAACUCUGUAUCUCUCCUAGCAUUGAUAACUUGAUCUGUACUCUAAGUUGGCAUUAGAAUGCAGUUCAGAGCACAAUGAAAGCUUUCUCAACACAUCAUAAUCCAAAGUCAUCUUCAAGAAUUUCUAGGUGGAGACAUUUUGUUUUUUAUGCCUGCUAUCAAAUGAAGGUCCUCUUCACAACACCAUUAUGAUCUUCUGUCCUCCUGCAUGGUAAAUGGUUGAAGACAGAAGACUUAUUAUUCAUUUUACAUCCAGCCCAUGAGGAUUUGGACUGAUUCCAUGAAGCAGGUUCAGGUCAGCUAAGUCCUUUCCUUCAAAGCAUCAUCAAUGUCUCUAAGCAUCAUUGCAAGCUUGUUCUGG
rnacentral:lncRNA from 1 species